AAAGACUCCACGGACACCAAUGUGUAGCAUAUGCUCACAGACACUGUGCUCAACGGGAACCCAGGGUACCCCUACAGGAGCAGAGAGAGGGUAGGAAGCCUCGGCUGUGGACAUUAUUUAUCCCUCCCCUACCCCACCCCACUACUCCUUCCCUCCCUCCCUCACCCUAUCCUGCUCCUACCCCACCCCUCCUGAUUUUCCACAUUUCUCUCUCUCUCUUUCACACACACACACACACACACACACACACAGAGUUUGUCUUCUCAGUAGCCUUCUGAUCUUGGUGAUUUACGAAUCCAGAAAAAUGCACAAAAGCAGUCAUUAGCCAAAAAGAACCCAUGUGUUCCUGGUAACAUUCAAAUGACCCCGGUACUCAGGAAGGUUUCUUGGGGCCAUCAGCCUAUCUGGAAUGGCUAUCACUCUUCAAGACCAAAACAUGUUUUUAAACACUUCUGUCCAUUCAUUCCUUCAUUCCUUGGUCCAACACAUCUGUGCAAAGCUCCUACAGUGGACAGUACCCCAGACUAUACGUUUAUAGUCUAGCGCAAGCCUGUCCAGCCCAUGGCCCACAGGCCACAUGCGGCCCAGGACCGCUUUGAAUAUGACCCAACACAAAUCUGUAAACUUUCUUCAAACAUGAUGAGAUUUUGGGGGGAUUUUUUUUUUAGCUCAUUAGCUAUGUGAAUAUUAGUGCAUUUCAUAUGUGACCCAAGACAAUUCCUCUUCCAAAGAGGCCCAGGGAAGCCAAAGCAUGGGACAGCCCUGGUCUAGGGCAUGGAUAAUAUCAAACACUAAUAUCUAGCAAAUACGAAACUCAAUAGCAGGGUGCAUUUAGAACUAGAUGAUAGCCGAGUGCGGUGGCUCAUGCCUGUAAUCCCAGCACUUUGGGAGGUUGAGGCAGGUGGAUCUCCUGAGGUCAGGAGUUCGAGACCAGCUUCACCAACCUGGUGAAACUCUGUCUCUACUAAAAACACAAAAAUUAGCUGGGUGCAGUGGCGGGUGCCUAUAAUCUCAGCUACUCGGGAGGAUGAGGCAGAAGAAUCCCUUGAACCCAGGAGGCGGAGGUUGCAGUGAGCUGAGAUCACGUCAUUGCACUCUAGCCUCGGUGACAAAGCAAGACUCCAUCUCAAAAAAAAAAAAAAA
rnacentral:lncRNA from 1 species